rnacentral:rRNA from 1 species
CUUAACACAUGCAAGUCGAGCGAUGAAGUUUCUUCGGAAAUGGAUUAGCGGCGAACGGGUGAGGAACACGUGAAGAAUCUGCCCUCCACUUUGGGAUAACACAGGGAAACCUGUGCUAAUACCGAAUAUUGAAACUUAAGUGGCAUCACUGAGUUUUGAAAGAAUUUCGGUGGAGGAUGACUUCGCGGCCUAUCAGCUAGUUGGUGAGGUAAUGGCUCACCAAGGCAACGACGGGUAGCCGGCCUGAGAGGGCGACCGGCCACACUGGGACUGAGACACGGCCCAGACUCCUACGGGAGGCAGCAGUGGGGAAUAUUGGGCAAUGGAGGAAACUCUGACCCAGCGACGCCGCGUGCGGGAUGAAGGCCUUCGGGUUGUAAACCGCUUUCAGUAGGGAAGAAGCGAAAGUGACGGUACCUACAAAAGAAGCACCGGCUAACUAUGUGCCAGCAGCCGCGGUAAUACAUAGGGUGCAAGCGUUGUCCGGAAUUAUUGGGCGUAAAGAGCUCGUAGGUCGUUUGUUACGUCGGAUGUGAAAACCUGAGGCUCAACCUCAGGCCUGCAUUCGAUACGGGCAAACUAGAGUUUGGUAGGGGAGACUGGAAUUCCUGGUGUAGCGGUGGAAUGCGCAGAUAUCAGGAGGAACACCAAUGGCGAAGGCAGGUCUCUGGGCCAAUACUGACACUGAGGAGCGAAAGUCUGGGGAGCGAACAGGAUUAGAUACCCUGGUAGUCCGGACCGUAAACGGUGGGCACUAGUUGUGGGGACCUUCCACGGUUUCUGCGACGCAGCUAACGCAUUAAGUGCCCCGCCUGGGGAGUACGAUCGCAAGAUUAAAACUCAAAGGAAUUGACGGGGCCCCGCACAAGCAGCGGAGCAUGCGGCUUAAUUCGACGCAACGCGAAGAACCUUACCAAGGCUUGACAUAUAGGGAAAAGUGGCAGAGAUGUCAUGUCCGCAAGG